GGACUACUCGGGUUUCUAAUCCUGUUUGAUCCCCACGCUUUCGUGCCUCAGUGUCAAUAAAACCAUAGUAAGCUGCCUUCGCAAUUGGUGUUCUGUGACAUAUCUAUGCAUUUCACCGCUACUUGUCACAUUCCGCCUACCUCUAGUUCAUUCAAGCCCAUCAGUAUCAAGGGCACUGCGAUAGUUAAGCUACCGUCUUUCACCCCUGACUUAACAGGCCACCUACGCACCCUUUAAACCCAAUAAAUCCGGAUAACGCUUGGAUCCUCCGUAUUACCGCGGCUGCUGGCAC
rnacentral:rRNA from 1 species